rnacentral:rRNA from 1 species
CAUGGCAAACUGCUCAGUAACACAUGUAUCAACUUACCCUAUAGAGAAAAAUAACCUCGGGAAACUGAGGAUAAUGUUUCAUAGUUGAAUUGGCUUGGAAAAGUUUUUCGACGAAAGGGGUAAAAAAAAUGGUUUUUAUCUGCUAUAGGAUAGGAUCGUGUUCGAUUAUGGUUGUUGGUGAGGUAAUGGCUCACCAAGCCGAUAAUCNAUAGGGGCCGUGAGAGCGGGAGCCCCGAGAUGGGUACUGAGACAACGACCCAGGCCUUACGAGGNGCAGCAGGCGCGAAACCUCCGCAAUACACGAAAGUGUGACGGGGUUACCCAAAGUGUUCAAUUUUGAACUGUGGUAGGUGAGUAAUGUUCCCUACUAAAAAGGAGAGGGCAAGGCUGGUGCCAGCCGCCGCGGUAAAACCAGCUCUUCAAGUGGUCGGGAUAAUUAUUGGGCUUAAAGUGUCCGUAGCCGGUUUAGUAAGUUCCUGGUAAAAUCGGGUAGCUUAACUAUCUAUAUGCUAGGAAUACUACUAUACUAGAGGGCGGGAGAGGUCUGAAGUACUGCAGGGGUAGGGGUGGAAUCUUAUAAUCCUUGUUGGACCACCAGUGGCGAAGGCGUCAGAAUGGAACGCGCCUGACGGUGAG